rnacentral:rRNA from 1 species
AUUGAACGCUGGCGGCAUGCCUUACACAUGCAAGUCGAACGGCAGCACGGACUUCGGUCUGGUGGCGAGUGGCGAACGGGUGAGUAACAUAUCGGAACAUACCCUAGAGUGGGGGAUAACGUAGCGAAAGUUACGCUAAUACCGCAUACGAUCUAAGGAUGAAAGUGGGGGAUCUUCGGACCUCAUGCUCAUGGAGUGGCCGAUAUCUGAUUAGCUAGUUGGUGAGGUAAAGGCUCACCAAGGCGACGAUCAGUAGCUGGUUUGAGAGAACGACCAGCCACACUGGAACUGAGACACGGUCCAGACUCCUACGGGAGGCAGCAGUGGGGAAUUUUGGACAAUGGGGGCAACCCUGAUCCAGCAAUGCCGCGUGAGUGAAGAAGGCCUUCGGGUUGUAAAGCUCUUUUGUCAGGGAAGAUGAUGACUGUACCUGGAGAAUAAGCCCCGGCUAACUUCGUGCCAGCAGCCGCGGUAA